UAUGAUUUUUGGUAUAAAUCUAAAAGAAAAACCUUUGUAUCUCGCUGAUAUUGAUCCAGUCCAGAGUUAGCGGAUAGAAGCUUUGGCUAUGCAGAUCUUUAGCACAGGACUGUCUCAGAUGGCUGGAACAAUCUAGACCAUAAAAAGGAACUAUUUUGCUUGUAUAUUUACUAUAUCUUUGUGCUUAUUUCAGAUUUUAUACAGACUUGUAAUGCGGCUUCUGAUAUGUCAGUUGUAUUCGUACUGUUCAUGUUCUCUCCUUUUGAACUUUUGUUGUGGACGUCUUCUUUUGUGAACGUUUGUUGUGAUGGUAUUUCUCACCGUUGUUCAGCAUGGGCCCUCUCUCUGCAGCUCUGAUCCUUGUGAGGGGUUUUAAGAAAAAAAAAAGCGUUGGGAUUUUGAAACGUCUUUAAGAGGUGUGAUCUGUGGACGUGGAACACAUGUAUCAUUGUUAUUGCUCAUGUUGAAGUUUGCACUGAUCUGAACAAAAUUGAUGUUUUGGUUUUAAGCAGUAGUUCUUAUUUUGGCGAAGAUGUUAUUUGCGAUGACGCAAAGACGUUGUAUUUUCAGCAUGUUACGCAUGUGAGGACUUUGAACUGAAUGCAGUAUAUUUUGUGAAUUACUAGAUUCAAAUGACCAAAUAUUUUGAGAUGAAGAAAGAUAUCUAAAUAUAGCUCAGGAAUGCUUUUUUUCACCAUAUCGUGAGUGGUUUUAUGCCCAUCUCUUGCCUCUUGACUGCCAGAUCCGGGCAAAAUGUUAUAAUGUUUUAACCGAAAUCCAAAAGGCACUCUUCUCUGUGUUGUUAUCUGUGUAGCUUUCUAUUCCACUUCCGGAGGUUGGUAAUAGAAAGCAAUAACAAUGUUAUCUGUGCGCCAUGUCCACAAUUUGUUUUGUUUCGUUUUUGCCAUGUAUUUUUGCAUUCAUCCAGGUCAUUUUAGAGUUUUGAGUUCAACAUUCUUACUUUUUUUUUUUUUUGUUGUUGUUGUUGUGCAUUGUUCAAUGUGGUCCAAGUAGGCGAGAAGAGAGGAUGAUUGACACAAACAGAGAUGUAAGGUGUGGUGACAUUAGUGGCAUUUAGUGGGAAAAAGGGUCUGUUAUCAAUGGUGUAGCGAUGUAUGAAGCACAAAAGUCACUUUCAAACCAAGCGGUUUUCUGUUGGUCAGUGCGGCGAAUCUGUGAGACCAACGGCAAAAUCUACUUUUGCUGAAAAUUCCCUAUUGAAAUGACUGGAUUUAGCCCAUGAAAAUUAGCCAAACCUUGUAAAUGUGACCGCACCUUUAUAAACUUCUAUAUUUAAGCUUUGAUAAAUCUGGUCCCCUGUGUACAGAAGGCAAAACAAGAUUGGUCUUUCACCCCUGCAGCUGCAGUUUCUUUGUUUUGUUUUUUAACAUCGUUGUUCUUUAGGGGUGUUAGCAUCUGUUAUAAAAGAACAUGAUGUUUAAGAGUGAAGCAGGCAGAGAUGUUGAGCAUGUCUUGCUGCAUCCUGUUUCUGCUUAAAAAAAAGUCUCUAUUUAUAUAACUAACAUUUUUUUUUUUCAUCUCUCGUUCUGGCUUCUCAGUUACCUCUGAAGUUUUUCAUGAAUUUUAACAGUGGCAUCACAUUUUAAGAGAUGAAACGGUCUUUCAUUGGUUUGUUUCUGCCUCAGACGACAGUAGUCUGUUCCCGUCACUCAUUCUCUCUCUCUGGGAGGAGAUUUUAUCUUCUCCUGCCUUAUUCUUGCUCUUGACCACUUGCUGUCCCUCUUGAGUGUACUGUGAUAAUUUUUUUAAUUUUUUAAUUUUCCAUUUCCAGGCCCUGUGCUCAAAUGGCAAAAAAGGUGUUUAUUGGCUUUUUAAUAUAGUCUUCAUAAUAAGAUAUUAGUAGUUUUUUUUCUGUUUAUAGAAGGAAUCCUUUUUUUCUUUUUAUGUUUUUGUUGUCUUUUUUUGUCACCAUUUAAAAAAAAAUGUAC
ensembl:lncRNA